GCCAGAUGUGGAGCUGCACACCUGUAAUCCCAGCGACUCGGGAGGCUGAGGCAGGAGGAUUGCAAGUUCAAGGCCAGCCUGGGCAACCUACUGAGAACCAGCCUCCA
rnacentral:sRNA from 1 species